UGGGGAAUAUUGGGCAAUGGGGGAAACCCUGACCCAGCAACGCCGCGUGAGGGAAGAAGGCCUUCGGGUUGUAAACCUCUGUCCUUGGGGACGAAAAAAAUGACGGUACCCAAGGAGGAAGCCCCGGCUAACUACGUGCCAGCAGCCGCGGUAAUACGUAGGGGGCGAGCGUUGUCCGGAAUUACUGGGCGUAAAGGGAGCGUAGGCGGUUCUUUAAGUUAUUUGUGAAAUACCCGUGCUUAACAUGGGGGGUGCAAGUAAUACUGGGGGACUUGAGUGUAGGAGAGGUAAGUAGAAUUCCUAGUGUAGCGGUGAAAUGCGUAGAUAUUAGGAGGAAUACCGGUGGCGAAGGCGACUUACUGGACUAUAACUGACGCUGAGGCUCGAAAGCGUGGGGAGCAAACA
rnacentral:rRNA from 1 species